AGUGAACGCUGGCGGUAGGCCUAACACAUGCAAGUCGAACGGCAGCACAGUAAGAGCUUGCUCUUACGGGUGGCGAGUGGCGGACGGGUGAGGAAUACAUCGGAAUCUACUUUUUCGUGGGGGAUAACGUAGGGAAACUUACGCUAAUACCGCAUACGACCUACGGGUGAAAGCAGGGGAUCUUCGGACCUUGCGCGAUUGAAUGAGCCGAUGUCGGAUUAGCUAGUUGGCGGGGUAAAGGCCCACCAAGGCGACGAUCCGUAGCUGGUCUGAGAGGAUGAUCAGCCACAAUGGAACUGGAAAACGGUCCAGAAUCCUACGGGAGGCAGCAGUGGGGAAUAUUGGACAAUGGGCGCAAGCCUGAUCCAGCCAUACCGCGUGGGUGAAGAAGGCCUUCGGGUUGUAAAGCCCUUUUGUUGGGAAAGAAAAGCAGCAGGUUAAUACCCCGCUGUUCUGACGGUACCCAAAGAAUAAGCACCGGCUAACUUCGUG
rnacentral:rRNA from 1 species